CCUACGGGAGGCAGCAGUGGGGAAUAUUGGACAAUGGGCGAAAGCCUGAUCCAGCCAUGCCGCGUGUGUGAAGAAGGUCUUCGGAUUGUAAAGCACUUUAAGUUGGGAGGAAGGGCAGUAAGUUAAUACCUUGCUGUUUUGACGUCACCAACAGAAUAAGCACCGGCUAACUUCGUGCCAGCAGCCGCGGUAAUACGAAGGGUGCAAGCGUUAAUCGGAAUUACUGGGCGUAAAGCGCGCGUAGGUGGUUUGGUAAGAUGGAUGUGAAAUCCCCGGGCUCAACCUGGGAACUGCAUCCAUAACUGCCUGACUAGAGUACGGUAGAGGGUGGUGGAAUUUCCUGUGUAGCGGUGAAAUGCGUAGAUAUAGGAAGGAACACCAGUGGCGAAGGCGACCACCUGGACUGAUACUGACACUGAGGUGCGAAAGCGUGGGGGGCAAACAGGAUUAGAUACCCUGGUAGUCCACGCCGUAAACGAUGUCGACUAGCCGUUGGAAUCCUUGAGAUUUUAGUGGCGCAGCUAACGCGAUAAGUCGACCGCCUGGGGAGUACGGCCGCAAGGUUAAAACUCAAAUGAAUUGACGG
rnacentral:rRNA from 1 species